GACGGUGGAGUAUGUGGUUAAUUUCGAUGCAACGCGAAGAACCUUACCUGGUCUUGACAUCCCGGAGACCCUUAGGAAACUAGGGGGUGCUUCCAUCUGGAAGAAUCUGGAGACAGGUGCUGCAUGGCUGUCGUCAGCUCGUGUCGUGAGAUGUUGGGUUAAGUCCCGCAACGAGCGCAACCCUUGCCUUUAGUUGCCAGCAGUUCGGCUGGGCACUCUAAAGGGACUGCCGGUGUUAAACCGGAGGAAGGUGGGGAUGACGUCAAGUCCUCAUGGCCUUUAUGACCAGGGCUACACACGUACUACAAUGGCCGAUACAAAGGGCAGCGACACUGCGAGGUGAAGCCAAUCCCGUAAAAUCGGUCUCAGUCCGGAUUGGAGUCUGCAACUCGACUCCAUGAAGUUGGAAUCGCUAGUAAUCGUGGAUCAGCAUGCCACGGUGAAUACGUUCCCGGGCCUU
rnacentral:rRNA from 1 species